rnacentral:rRNA from 1 species
UACGGAGGAUGCGAGCGUUAUCCGGAUUUAUUGGGUUUAAAGGGUGCGCAGGCGGAUUUCUAAGUCAGCGGUCAAAUCGUGGGGCUCAACCCCAUCCAGCCGUUGAAACUGGGGAUCUAGAGUGUGCGAGAGGUAUGCGGAAUGCGUGGUGUAGCGGUGAAAUGCAUAGAUAUCACGCAGAACCCCGAUUGCGAAGGCAGCAUACCGGUGCACAACUGACGCUCAGGCACGAAAGCGUGGGUAUCGAACAGG